rnacentral:lncRNA from 1 species
UUGUCAACUCCUUGAAGAGAAUUUUGUAAGAUUCCCCAAGCUUCCUUUAAGGUGGUAGCAUUUGCCACCUUCUUAAAUAUGACAUCAUCCAAAUAUUGGUGGAUUAGCGUGAGGGCUUGUUGAUCCUUCUUCCUUGUCUUUGCCAAGACCUCUUUUUUAUUUUGAGGUAGAACUUCCUCAUUAUCGGUUUUGCAUACCCUCUGCCUACGAUUUCCCAUACAUCCUGAUAGCCAAGAAUGGCUUUCAUACGUAGACGCCAUUUCUCAUAAUUAUCUUUAGUAAGACGGGGGUACUGAAAAGAUAGCGGACCAUUAUUUGCCAUGGAUCUGAUACCACGUUGUUGGAAUAACAUAAAUAAUUCCAUCUAGGAAUAAUAUCCACAACAAAUAAUAAUAACACAAGAGAGUAACAAUGGCACCAAAUAUUAUAGCGGGAUAAAAUACAAUACCCGAGUGGAGCAAUAUUAUUACUAUUAUAAUACAACUUAGUAUUGUAAAGAGAGUACUACAACUUUAAAAGAAAUAACACUCUUUAUUUAACACACUUCACUAUUAUAUUACUAUCACUCACUAAUUAUAUCACAUACAACAAUCUGUGAUUACUCUCG